GCCUACGGGGCGCAGCAGUGAGGAAUAUCGGUCAAUGGUCGGGAGACUGAACCAGCCAAGCCGCGUGAGGGAGGAAGGUACAGAGUAUCGUAAACCUCUUUUGUCAGGGAACAAAGACUGGGACGCGUCCCCGGAUGAGUGUACCUGAAGAAAAAGCAUCGGCUAACUCCGUGCCAGCAGCCGCGGUAAUACGGAGGAUGCGAGCGUUAUCCGGAUUUAUUGGGUUUAAAGGGUGCGUAGGCGGGCUGUUAAGUCAGCGGUAAAAGCCCGGGGCUCAACCCCGGCGAGCCGUUGAAACUGGCUGU
rnacentral:rRNA from 1 species